rnacentral:rRNA from 1 species
UCCUGGCUUAGGAUGAACGCUAGCUACAGGCUUAACACAUGCAAGUCGAGGGGCAGCAUGAAACUUAGCUUGCUAAGUUUGAUGGCGACCGGCGCACGGGUGAGUAACACGUAUCCAACCUACCGUUUACUACGGGAUAGCCUUCUGAAAAGGAGAUUAAUACCGUAUGGUAUUCUAAAGUUUCAUGACAUUAGAAUUAAAGGUUUACCGGUAAUCGAUGGGGAUGCGUUCCAUUAGAUAGUAGGCGGGGUAACGGCCCACCUAGUCAGCGAUGGAUAGGGGUUCUGAGAGGAAGGUCCCCCACAUUGGAACUGAGACACGGUCCAAACUCCUACGGGAGGCAGCAGUGAGGAAUAUUGGUCAAUGGGCGAGAGCCUGAACCAGCCAAGUAAGCGUGAAGGAUGACUGCCCUAUGGGUUGUAAACUUCUUUUAUAAAGGAAUAAAGUGGUCCACGUGUGGAUUUUUGUAUGUACUUUAUGAAUAAGGAUCGGCUAACUCCGUGCCAGCCGCUGC